rnacentral:lncRNA from 1 species
GGCCUUAAAUAUCGGAAGAAAAAAUAAUAUCAUUCACCAGUAGUAUAGUAUUUCAUUCGAAUCAAUUUAAUAAAGAUGCAAAGGACAAAAACAGAAACAUAUCAGCCCAAAAGCUAAUCAGACUGUAGUGGAAAACUAGCAGCCACAAAAGUUCUUAAAAAUAACAUCUAUCAGUAGCAACAAAGAGCAAAAAUAAAUAAGGAAAAGGCCACUGUGCUCGCUUGAAAUAAAAAAUUGUCCGAAAUGUAGUUCCAACCAGCAAUAACAGUUGUUGCAAUGAGAUGAUGAAGGAGAUAUGAAAUAAUAUUUAUAUCAACAAUAUUAAAAGCAAAUAAAGGAAAACAAAAGCAUGACAUUAAUUUUUGGUCAGAUUCGGUGCUUUCCGGCCAGAUCUAACUGGUGGUGCUCGCCGGUCAUCAUCUCCGGCGAGGCAGCCACGGAAAGGGGGAAAGAAAAGGGAGGCGGCGCUGGAGGUGGGUGGUGCUCGCCGGUCAUCACCUCCGACGAGAGGUGACAGAAAUGAAAAGAGGAAGAGAGGAAGAGAGGAAGCGUGGUGGUUGGUUCACCGGCGGCAGUGGAGCGGCGGUGGUGAAGGGGAAGAGGGAGAUGAAAACAAAUCUGAGAGUUGUGUAUAUACGUUUAUGUGUGUAUUAUGAGUGCAGUGUGGGUGUAUUAUUUGUUAAAGAAAAAAUAAAUGGCCCCCUCAUUUUUUUAUAAUAAAAAAGAAAUAUAUUUUUUAAUCCAAAAAAUAAAAAGCUAACUCCCUUUGUCUCCCUACGCAGGAUUAAAACCACGGG